rnacentral:rRNA from 1 species
AACCUUUAGCCUAAACAAGUAUUAAAGGCAACGCCUGCCCAGUGAAUAAUUAAACGGCCGCGGUACCCUAACCGUGCAAAGGUAGCGUAAUCACUUGUCUAUUAAUUGUAGACCCGUAUGAAAGGCAAAAUGAGGGCCUAACUGUCUCUUAUAAUAAAUCAAUUAAACUGAUCUCCCAGUACAAAAGCUGGAAUUCUAACAUAAGACCAGAAGACCCUGUGAAGCUUAAACUAAACUAUUAAAACACAUAAUAGCUCCUUUCGGUUGGGGCGACCUUGGAAAAAAAAAGAACUUCCAAAAAAUUAGCGGCCUUACCCCGCACCAUAUUAGGCCUACAAGCCGAAAUUAGACCCAGUAUAACUGAUAAUUGAACCAAGUUACUCCAGGGAUAACAGCGCUAUCUUCCUCAAGAGCCCAUAUCAAAAGGAAGGUUUACGACCUCGAUGUUGGAUCAGGACAUCCUAAUGGUGCAGCCGCUAUUAAGGGUUCGUUUGUUCAACGAUUAACAGUCCC